AGUAACUGUCCAUAAAUAACUUGGUCAUCCAAGUUAUUUUAAAGUUACUUAGCGUAGUUCUUCGAGAACGACGUUAGGGACGAAAAUAUAGGCACUCUUGUGAUGCUUCGUAAGGAAGGUACCCUGCGGGGAGUCAUUAAACAAGUCUUUAGGUGCGGCUAGUGUGGCUCUCAGGAAAAAACCGUCCACUAACAUUAGCUAGGGGACCAUUACCAGCGCAAGCUG
rnacentral:sRNA from 1 species